rnacentral:rRNA from 1 species
GAGUUUGAUCAUGGCUCAGGAUGAACGCUAGCUACAGGCUUAACACAUGCAAGUCGAGGGGCAGCAUGGGCUUAGCUUGCUAAGCCCGAUGGCGACCGGCGCACGGGUGAGUAACACGUAUCCAACCUUCCGGUAACUCCGGUAUAGCCUUUCGAAAGAAAGAUUAAUACCCGAUAGUAUAAUGAUUCCGCAUGGUUUCAUUAUUAAAGGAUUCCGGUAAAGGAUGGGGAUGCGUUCCAUUAGGUUGUUGGUGAGGUAACGGCCCACCAAGCCUUCGAUGGAUAGGGGGUUCUGAGAGGAAGGUCCCCCCAAUUGGAACUGAGACACGGUCCAAACUCCUACGGGAGGCAGCAGUGAGGAAUAUUGGUCAAUGGGCGCUAGCCUGAACCAGCCAAGUAGCGUGAAGGAUGAAGGCUCUAUGGGUCUUAAACUUCUUUUAAUAAGAAUAAAGUGCAGUAUGUAUACUGUUUUG